rnacentral:rRNA from 1 species
GAUGAACGCUGGCGGCGUGCCUAACACAUGCAAGUCGAGCGGACGGACGAGAAGCUUGCUUCUCUGAUGUUAACGGCGGAAGGGUGAGUAACACGAGGAUAACCUGCCUAUAAGACUGGGGUAACGUAGGGAAACCGGAGCUAGUACCGGCCAAUAUUUUGAAGCGCAUGGGUCAAAAGUGCAAGCCGUUCUUGAUGUCACUGAUACAUAGAACCGGGCUGCAGUAGUUAGGUGGUAAGGUAACGGCUUACCAAGGCAACGAUGCAAAGCCGACCUGAUAGGGUGAUCGGCCACACUGGAACUGAGCCACGGCCCAGACUCCUACGGGAGGCAGCAGUAGGGAAUCUUCGGCAAUGGGCGAAAGCCUGACGGAGCAGGGCCGCGUGUGUGAUGAAGGUCUUCGGAGCGUAAAACUCUGUUAUUAGGGAAGAACAGAUGUGUGUGUAACUGUGCACAUCUUGACGGUACCUAAACAGAAAGCCCCGGCUAACUACGUG